rnacentral:rRNA from 1 species
UACGUAGGGUCCGAGCGUUGUCCGGAAUUAUUGGGCGUAAAGGGCUCGUAGGCGGUUCGUCACGUCGGGAGUGAAAACUCGGAGCUUAACUCCGAGCCUGCUUCCGAUACGGGCAGACUAGAGGUAGGCAGGGGAGAGCGGAACUCCUGGUGUAGCGGUGGAAUGCGCAGAUAUCAGGAAGAACACCCGGUGGCGAAGGCGGUCUCUGGACGGUACUGACGCUGAGACGCGAAAGCGUGGGGAGCGAACAGG